CCCCCCCCACACCCAAAUCAACAACAGCCCCAAAAUCGGAGCUCCCCCAAAAUCGUCGACGGCAUUUUUGCAAUUGUCCUGAACCCUCAAAAAAGCCCCAAAUCAAGCCUAAUUUCUACCGCCGACGAACGUCCAACCUCCGAUCACCGCCCGAAGCUCGCCGAAGCUCGCCACCAUCGACAUCCCCUUGCCCCCACUCAGCAUCGCCGCCGGAUCAUCACCUCGACCUCCUCCUUUCCACCGCUCGAAAUCGCCGACUUCGGAGCUCGCCGCCCCCGCUCAGACUCGCCGUCGAGCUCAGGUUCGAAAACUUGAGUUUCUCAUAGCUUUCUUUGUUGCUGUAAUGGCUGUUUGUUUUCAGAAAUUGAGCUUGGUUACUCCAAGCCCAAAGCCUCAAUUGAUGCUGAAGGGACUAUUCAAUGUGCGCUCAUAUCAAAUUCAUUGAGCAUGGCUAGCCUGAAAGAACAUAUUGAUCUGUAUCCUCAUGACUUGCUUCAUGGGUGAUCUUAUGGCUGAACUUAGUGUAUGUUUCUUCUUUGUGAAUUAAAGACAUGAAGCAAGUAGUUAUGUAUAUCUCGCACAUUGUUCAUGGCCGUGUUGUUUUGCUUGUGUUGUUUUGCAGGACCAAAUGUUGUAACCGAAACAUUUUAUCUAAUUGUGUUGUUUUGCUUGCAUUGUUUUGCUUGCAUUGUUUUGCAACAGAUUUCAUUAUAUGUGAGUUUGAGAGUUGCAGUCU